rnacentral:rRNA from 1 species
GAGUUUGAUCCUGGCUCAGAUUGAACGCUGGCGGCAGGCCUAACACAUGCAAGUCGAACGGUAACAGGAAGAAGCUUGCUUCUUUGCUGACGAGUGGCGGACGGGUGAGUAAUGUCUGGGAAACUGCCUGAUGGAGGGGGAUAACUACUGGAAACGGUAGCUAAUACCGCAUAACGUCGCAAGACCAAAAAGGGGGACCUUCGGGCCUCUUGCCAUCGGAUGUGCCCAGAUGGGAUUAGCUAGUAGGUGGGGUAACGGCUCACCUAGGCGACGAUCCCUAGCUGGUCUGAGAGGAUGACCAGCCACACUGGAACUGAGACACGGUCCAGACUCCUACGGGAGGCAGCAGUGGGGAAUAUUGCACAAUGGGCGCAAGCCUGAUGCAGCCAUGCCGCGUGUAUGAAGAAGGCCUUCGGGUUGUAAAGUACUU